rnacentral:rRNA from 1 species
CAGGUCAAGGACCGUGUAAAUCGACGGCAGUGAAUGUAUACGACUCCACUAUAGGCGAUGGAUUUAGCGCCGCGAUCGCCUUGUGCCAGCAGCCGCGGUAAUUCCAGCUCCAAUAGCGUAUAUUAAAGUUGUUGUGGUUAAAAAGCUCGUAGUUGGAUCUCGGCGGACUGAGGGCGGUUUGCUUGCUAGUAUUACUGCCCUAUAGUCCGUAGUUUUGCCAGAGGUUUCGGGGUGCUCUUAAUCGAGUGUCCCGGGAUGCUGGCAGGUUUACUUUGAAAAAAUUAGAGUGCUCAAAGCAGGCUAUUACGCCUGGAUAUUCGUGCAUGGAAUAAUAGAAUAGGAAGUCGUUUCUAUUUUGUUGGUUUUCGGAAAUCGACUUAAUGAUUAAUAGGGGCAGUCGGGGGCAUUUGUAUUCAAACGACAGAGGUGAAAUUCUUGGACCGUUUGAAGACAAACUACUGCGAAAGCAUUUGCCAAGAAUGUUUUCAUUAAUCAAGAACGAAAGUUAAAGGUUCGAAGGCGAUUAGAUACCGCCCUAGUUUUAACCAUAAACGAUGCCAGCUAGCGAUCUGCGGACGUUUUUUUUGUAGACUCCGCAGGAAGCUUCCGGGAAACCAAAGCAUUUGGGUUCCAGGGGAAGUAUGGUUGCAAAGCUGAAACUUAAAGGAAUUGACGGAAGGGCACCACCAGGAGUGGAGCCUGUGGCUUAAUUUGACUCAACACGGGAAAUCUCACCAGGCCCGGACACUGGAAGGAUUGACAGAUUGAUAGCUCUUUCUUGAUUCGGUGGGUGGUGGUGCAUGGCCGUUCUUAGUUGGUGGAGUGAUUUGUCUGGUUAAUUCCGAUAACGAACGAGACUCUGUCCUGCUAAAUAGUGUCUGCUUCUCUUUUGAGCAGACAAUUCUUCUUAGAGGGACUGGCGACUCUUAGUCGCACGAGAUUGAGCAAUAACAGGUCUGUGAUGCC